UCCCCCUCCCACCUUUCAUUGUUGAGCUUUUCCUUACUUUUGGCAUGGCCUUGGGUUUGAUGGCCCCAAAAUCAUGGCAUUUGCUUAUAGAUUUUCUGAUAGCCUGCUUCCUAGCAGAGGUUAAGCCAUCCAUUGACAUGUUCUGAUCCUUUUACACUUCUAAAAAAUAUCCUUAUUUUGAUGACUAGUGGUACAUUUCCCCUCAAAAGGUGGUUCGUGCCUUGAUCUGAGGUGCCCCUUCAUCCAUUCAUGGUUGGAAGA
rnacentral:lncRNA from 1 species